rnacentral:snRNA from 1 species
AUGCUCACUUCGGUGGCACAUGUGCUAAAAUUAAAUUGAUACGAGAGGAGAUUAGCAUAGCCUCUAUGCAAGAAUGACACACAAAUUUGUGAGACAUUCCAUAUUUUU